rnacentral:rRNA from 1 species
GAUGAACGCUGGCGGCGUGCCUAAUACAUGCAAGUCGAACGCACAGCGAAAGGUGCUUGCACCUUUCAAGUGAGUGGCGAACGGGUGAGUAACACGUGGACAACCUGCCUCAAGGCUGGGGAUAACAUUUGGAAACAGAUGCUAAUACCGAAUAAAACUCAGUGUCGCAUGACACAAAGUUAAAAGGCGCUUUGGCGUCACCUAGAGAUGGAUCCGCGGUGCAUUAGUUAGUUGGUGGGGUAAAGGCCUACCAAGACAAUGAUGCAUAGCCGAGUUGGGAGACUGAUCGGCCACAUUGGGACUGAGAAACGGCCCAAACUCCUACGGGAGGCUGCAGUAGGGAAUCUUCCACAAUGGGCGAAAGCCUGAUGGAGCAACGCCGCGUGUGUGAUGAAGGCUUUCGGGUCGUAAAGCACUGUUGUAUGGGAAGAACAGCUAGAAUAGGGAAUGAUUUUAGUUUGACGGUACCAUACCAGAAAGGGACGGCUAAAUACGUGCCAGCAGCCGCGGUAA